GAUGAACGCUGGCGGCGUGCCUAAUACAUGCAAGUCGAGCGAACAGACGAGGAGCUUGCUCCUCUGACGUUAGCGGCGGACGGGUGAGUAACACGUGGAUAACCUACCUAUAAGACUGGGAUAACUUCGGGAAAACGGAGCUAAAACCGGAUCAUAUAUUGAACCGCAAGGUUCAAUAGUGAAAGACGGUUUUGCUGUCCCUUAUAGAUGGAUCCGCGCCGCAUUAGCUAGUUGGUAAGGUAACGGCUUACCAAGGCAACGAUGCGUAGCCGACCUAAGAGGGUGAUCGGCCACACUGGAACUGAGGCACGUUCCAGACUCCUAGGGGAGGCAGCGGUAGGGAAUCUUCCGCGAUGGGCGAAGGCCUGACGGAGCAACGCCGCGUGAGUGAUGAAGGUCUUCGGAUCGUAAAACUCUGUUAUUAGGGAAGAACAAAUGUGUAAGUAACUAUGCACGUCUUGACGGUACCUAAUCAGAAAGCCACGGCUAACUACGUG
rnacentral:rRNA from 1 species